rnacentral:rRNA from 1 species
GACGAACGCUGGCGGCGUGCUUAACACAUGCAAGUCGAACGCUGAAGCCCUUCGGGGUGGAUGAGUGGCGAACGGGUGAGUAACACGUGGGUAAUCUGCCCUGCACUCUGGGAUAAGCCUUGGAAACGGGGUCUAAUACCGGAUAGGACACAUCGCCGCAUGGUGUGUGUGUGGAAAGUUCCGGCGGUGCAGGUUGAGCCCGCGGCCUAUCAGCUUGUUGGUGGGGUGAUGGCCUACCAAGGCGAGGACGGGUAGCCGGCCUGAGAGGGUGACCGGCCACACUGGGACUGAGACACGGCCCAGACUCCUACGGGAGGCAGCAGUGGGGAAUCUGGCGCAAUGGGCGAAAGCCUGACGCAGCAACGCCGCGUGGGGGAUGACGGCCUUCGGGUUGUAAACCUCUUUCGACCGGGACGAAGGAUUCGUUUGACGGUACCGGUAGAAGAAGCACCGGCUAACUACGUGCCAGCCGCCGCCGUAACAC